GGGAAGCAGGUUAAUAUUCCUGCACUUUUCUUAAGUGCGAUGUGGGGACGGAGAAGGUUAGGUCUACCAGGCGUUGGUUGUCCUGGGGAAAGGAGGUAGGCGGUGAUCUUAGGCAAAUCCGGGAUCACUUACGCCGAGCACCGAGACGAGUCCUAUGAGGACGAAGUGACUGACACCACGCUUCCAGGAAAAGCCACUAAGCUUCAGCUUAAGAAAAACCGUACCGCAAACCGACACAGGUAGGCAGGGUGAGAAUCCCAAGGCGCUUGAGAGAACUCGGGUGAAGGAACUAGGCAAAAUGGCACCGUAACUUCGGGAGAAGGUGCGCCCUUUGGUGUGGUCACGUGCGUGACUGAGCAUUGAAGGGUCGCAGUAACCUGGCCGCUGCGACUGUUUAUCAAAAACACAGCACUCUGCAAACACGAAAGUGGACGUAUAGGGUGUGACGCCUGCCCGGUGCUGGAAGGUUAAUUGAUGGGGUCAGCCGCAAGGCGAAGCUCUUGAUCGAAGCCCCAGUAAACGGCGGCCGUAACGAUAACGGUCCUAAGGUAGCGAAAUUCCUUGUCGGGUAAGUUCCGACCUGCACGAAUGGCGUAACGACAGCGGCGCUGUCUCCACCCGAGACUCAGUGAAAUUGAAAUCGCUGUGAAGAUGCAGCGUUCCCGCGGCAAGACGGAAAGACCCCGUGAACCUUUGCUAUAGCUUUACACUGAACGUUGAGUUCUUCUGUGUAGGAUAGGUGGGAGGCUAUGAAACCAGGACGCUAGUUCUGGUGGAGCCAUCCUUGAAAUACCACCCUGAAGUGCUUGACGUUCUAACCUAGGCCCGUAAUCCGGGUCAGGGACCGUGUAUGGUGGGUAGUUUGACUGGGGCGGUCUCCUCCCAAAGAGUAACGGAGGAGCACGAAGGUACGCUCAGCGCGGUCGGACAUCGCGCACUGUGUGCAAAGGCAUAAGCGUGCUUGACUGCGAGAUCGACGGAUCAAGCAGGUACGAAAGUAGGUCUUAGUGAUCCGGUGGUUCUGUAUGGAAGGGCCAUCGCUCAACGGAUAAAAGGUACUCCGGGGAUAACAGGCUGAUACCGCCCAAGAGUUCAUAUCGACGGCGGUGUUUGGCACCUCGAUGUCGGCUCAUCACAUCCUGGGGCUGUAGCCGGUCCCAAGGGUAUGGCUGUUCGCCAUUUAAAGUGGUACGCGAGCUGGGUUCAGAACGUCGUGAGACAGUUCGGUCCCUAUCUGUCGUGGGCGUUGGAGAUUUGAGGGGGGCUGCUCCUAGUACGAGAGGACCGGAGUGGACGUUCCGCUGGUGUUCGGGUUGUCAUGCCCAUGGCAUUGCCCGGUAGCUACGAACGGAAGUGAUAACCGCUGAAAGCAUCUAAGCGGGAAGCACGCCCCAAGAUGAGAUCUCCCGAGAGCUUGACUCUCCUAAAGGCACCAUCAAGACUAGGUGGUUGAUAGGUCAGGUGUGGAAGCGCAGCAAUGCGUUGAGCUAACUGAUACUAAUGAGCCGUGAGGCUUGACCAA
rnacentral:rRNA from 1 species